AUUAGAAAUGAUCAAGGCACUUGUUUUCUUUCGAGCACAACUACAUCCAAAAACAACUUACCUGUGAGCUGAGAGAGUAUUUGUUAACCCCUUUGAGCCUGAACAGUUGAAUCUCGGCUUGAAAUAAAGCGAGAUCUCAAAAAUCUUUUUUUUUACAACCCGGAAAAUAUUGAUUAUUGUUCUUUUGCCGUGAAAAGGUAAGAGCAUUCACUUAGGGUGUGGAAGAAAUAAGUUGGGGAGAACGGAAAAGAAUUGGUAAGCACCACAACUCUUGAAAAAUAAAAGAAAAACCGAGCAAGCAUAAAAAAAUAUAUGUAUAGAAAAUAUAGAAAAGAAACAUCUGUUUUGUAUAUUUGAUGUAAAAGAAAAGAACAAAAAUAGAAAAUGAAUGCUUGCUUGGAAGAAAAAUAGUGAAAAAUAAGAGUUGAGUUGUGGAAUAUGUGUUGUGAAGGUUACAAAUAAGAAACAAAGGAAACAAAGUCGAGUAGUGUGAAUAAUACUGUGAAUGUCUCUUUUGCAUCGGCACUUUCGUUUCAAUGGCCUUAGAAAUGACCCUUGUUUGUUAACCUGACCAAGCUUCAACCGAAAAGCCCUUAGUGAUCUUUUUG
rnacentral:lncRNA from 1 species